AACGAACGCUGGCGGCAUGCCUAACACAUGCAAGUCGAACGAGACCUUCGGGUCUAGUGGCGCACGGGUGCGUAACGCGUGGGAAUCUGCCCUUAGGUACGGAAUAACUCAGGGAAACUUGAGCUAAUACCGUAUAAUGACUCCGGUCCAAAGAUUUAUCGCCUAAGGAUGAGCCCGCGUCGGAUUAGCUAGUUGGUGAGGUAAAAGCUCACCAAGGCGACGAUCCGUAGCUGGCUGAGAGGAUGAUCAGCCACACUGGGACUGAGACACGGCCCAGACUCCUACGGGAGGCAGCAGUGGGGAAUAUUGGACAAUGGGCGAAAGCCUGAUCCAGCAAUGCCGCGUGAGUGAUGAAGGCCUUAGGGUUGUAAAGCUCUUUACCCGGGAUGAUAAUGACAGUACCGGAGAAU
rnacentral:rRNA from 1 species